rnacentral:rRNA from 1 species
CGGAAGGGUGGGGAGCGCGUGAGUAAUCUGCCCCCCAGUUGGGAAUAACAGUUGGAAACGACUGCUAAUACCGAAUGUGGCUUAAGCUUCGCCUGGAGCUUUGGCUAAAGAUUUAUCGCUGGGGGAUGAGCUCGCGUCCCAUUAGCUAGUUGGAGAGGUAACGGCUCACCAAGGCGACGAUGGGUAGCUGGUCUGAGAGGAUGGUCAGCCACACUGGGACUGAGACACUGCCCAGACUCCUACGGGAGGCUGCAGUCGAGAAUCUUGGGCAAUGCGCGAAAGCGUGACCCAGCAAUGCCGCGUGUAUGAUGAAGGCCCUCGGGUCGUAAAGUACUGUCUCCCGUGACGAAAUUCGACGGUAACGGGGAAGGAAGCCACGGCUAACUACGUGCCAGCAGCCGCGGUAAUACGUAGGUGGCGAGCGUUAUUCGGAUUUAUUGGGCGUAAAGGGUCUGUAGGAGGUUUGUUAAAUACGGGGUGAAAUCCCGAAGCUCAACUUCGGAAUUGCCUUGUAGACUGACGGACUAGAGUACCGGAGAGGUAAGCGGAAUACCAGGUGUAGCGGUGGAAUGCGUAGAUAUCUGGUAGAACACCAAAAGCGAAGGCAGCUUGCCGGACGGAAACUGACUCUGAAAGACGAAAGCAUGGGGAGCAAACAGGAUUAGAUACCCUGGUAGUCCAUGCCGUAAACGUUGUCAACUUGAUGUGGGGGGAUUUAGUCCUCUCCGUAUCGAAGCUAACGCGAUAAGUUGACCGCCUGGGGACUACGGCCGCAAGGCUAAAACUCAAAGGAAUUGACGGGGGCCCGCACAAGCGGUGGAGCAUGUGGCUUAAUUCGAGGCAACGCGAAGAACCUUACCUGGUCUUGAAAUAUAUCGGAUCG